UCCUAUGGAUGAGCAAAGGAAGUAGUUUCUUGAGAAGGAGACUAAUCCUGGUGAAGAUGCUAUAAA
rnacentral:pre_miRNA from 1 species